GACAGAGGGUGCAAACGUUGUUCGGAAUUACUGGGCGUAAAGCGCGUGUAGGCGGCUAAGUAAGUCGGGCGUGAAAUCCCACGGCUCAACCGUGGAAGUGCACUCGAAACUGCGUAGCUAGAGUCCUGGAGAGGAAGGUGGAAUGCUUGGUGUAGAGGUGAAAUUCGUAGAUAUCGAGAGGAACACCGGUGGCGAAGGCGGCAUCCUAGACCGACAUUGACGCUGAGGAGCGAAAGCUAGGGGAGCAAACGGG
rnacentral:rRNA from 1 species